GACAGAGGGUGCAAACGUUGUUCGGAAUUACUGGGCGUAAAGCGCGUGUAGGCGGCAGGGUAUGUCGGAUGUGAAAUCCCGUGGCUCAACCACGGAAGUGCACCCGAAACUACCCAGCUUGAGCCUCGGAGAGGAAGGCGGAAUGCUUGGUGUAGAGGUGAAAUUCGUAGAUAUCAAGCGGAACACCGGUGGCGAAGGCGGCCUUCUGGACGAUGACUGACGCUGAGACGCGAAAGCGUGGGGAGCAAACAGG
rnacentral:rRNA from 1 species